AUGGAGAUGAACAAGGAAGAAUGUGGCUCUACAUUUCAGGGUUCAGAACACUAUGUCUUUGCUCUUAAACCCAACACUCCUAAUUUCUUCAGCCUUCCUCCUGCGACACUUCUUGAAAGCAGUGGAAUAAUGAGUGACAGUGUGGACACCAGUCUACAGCCCAGUAAAGAUGGCAGUCUCCUGAGGGCUCUAUGCUGCCUCCUUCCGGGCCCUGGUACUGCAGCCCCUGGGUCUGGGAUCCGCCUUCCAGCAGAGGUGCUCAGCAGCAGCAGCCAGAUGUGCAAAGGACAGAGCAGUUUUCAGGAGCUGUCAUGGACCCCCUCCAAGGAAACAGUCCCCUGGAAACUCCUCCUUGGAAUGAUGUGGACAUUUUCAAGGAAAAAGUGGCGACCAUUGUGACCCUGAACUUUGGGCCCCAGCACCAGCAGCCCAUGGAGUCCUGAGACUAGUGCUGGAAUUGAAUGGAGAGACGGUUUGGAAAUGUGACCCUCACAUUGAGCUUCUGCACUGAGGGCUCUGAGAAGUUUGUUGAGUCCAAGACCUAUCUGCAGGCCCUUCCAUACUUUACUGGUUGGACUAUGUGUCCGUGAUGGGUGAUGAAUAGGCCUAUUCGCUAGCUGUGGAGAAGUUGCUAAGCAUCCCAUCUCCUCCCUGGGCACUGCAGACCCAAGUGCUCUUUGGAGAGAUCACACAGAUUUAAAACCGUAUCAUGGCUGUCAUCACACAUGCCCUGGACAUUGGUGCCAUGACUUCCCUUCUUCUGGAUGUUUGAAAAAAGAGAGGAGAUGUUUGGGUUCUCUGAGCGGGUGUCUGGAGCCCGAAUGCAUGCUGCUUAUAUUCAACCAGGAGGAAUGCACCAGCAUCUACCUCUUGGGGCUUAUGAUGACAUUUAUGAAUUUUCCAAGCACUUCUCUCUUCAGAUUGAUGAAGUGGAGGAGAUGCUGACCAACAAUAGAAACUGUCAAAAUAGCACAGUCAACAUUGUAUCAGCAGAAGACACACUUAGCUGUGGGGUGAAUAACUAGUGGGGUGAUGCGCCAAGGUUCAGGCAUCCCCUGGGACUUGCAGAAGACCGAGCCCUAUUACACAAACAGGUUGAGUUUGAUGUUCCUGUUGGUUCUUGAGAGGAGUGCUAUGCACUAGAUACCUGUGUGGUGUGGAGGAGUUGCACCAGUCCUUUCAAAUCAUUGGACGGGAUCUGAACAAGAUCACUCCAGAGGAGAUCAAAGUUGAUGAUGCCAAAGUGCCCCCACUUAAACAAGCAGAGAUGAAAACUUCCAUGGAGUCACUAAUUCAUCACUUUAAGCUGUAUACAGAGGGCUAUCAAGUUCCUCCAGGAGCCACAUAUACUGCCAUUGAGGCUCCUAAGAGAGAAUUUGGGGCUACUUGGUAUCUGGUGGCAGCAGCCAUCCUUAUUCGGUGUAAGAUCAAGGCUCCAGGUUUUGCUCACCUGGCUGGUUUGGACAAGAUGUCUGAGGGACACAUGUUGGCAGAUGUCAUAGCUAUCAUAGGUACCCAGGAUAUUGUGUUUGGAGAAAUGGACUGA